rnacentral:rRNA from 1 species
UACGUAGGGUGCAAGCGUUAAUCGGAAUUACUGGGCGUAGAGCGUGCGCAGGCGGCUUUGCAAGACAGAUGUGAAAUCCCCGGGCUCAACCUGGGAACUGCAUUUGUGACUGCAUGGCUGGAGUACGGUAGAGGGGGAUGGAAUUCCGCGUGUAGCAGUGAAAUGCGUAGAUAUGCGGAGGAACACCGAUGGCGAAGGCAAUCCCCUGGACCUGUACUGACGCUCAUGCACGAAAGCGUGGGGAGCAAACAGG